rnacentral:lncRNA from 1 species
CGAACCAGGAAGACACUGAAGAACGGUACUUUUGAGUUGAGAUUGUAGUUAUGACCUGGGGUAAGGGGUGAGAACCUUUUCCUCCACUAGGUCUGGGGCAAUAGAUACUCCAAACUGUCCCUUUGCGUGCCCACAGGGAGUAAGGGCAGCCGUGGGUCACUGGUGUGGACAGGACAGGUUGUCUCUCCCAGGUCCAUAGGUCUUGGCUUUUGGUACCCUGCCUUUCUUCUGCUGGAAUGAAGUGCUGAGGACUGUUUCUCUGCAUGUUGCUCCUGGUGGACCGACAGGGACGCUGUUUUGAAAAGAAGCCAAUGGCAGAGGAAGGAGACUGGGCAAGAUAAAUGCAAUUUACCUUUGUCUAACCAACCACUGCAAUGGCCCUUUGGCCAAAUGGUGGUGGAUAACUACAUAUGUUAUUUUUAUUAUUGUGUAAAUGUGAAAACUGCAUAUUUUUUUAAGUGAUGGGGAUUCAGAAAGCCCAAACUUGUUCUAUUUAAUACUUUUGUCAAGAGAAGCAUCUUUACCCAUAAAGACACAAAGUAUUUUCAUAUGCAUGGAGCCUUGUAGCCAUGAGACAUUUUUGUAAAGCAAUGUAGUAUACUAGGUUAUAAACUUCCCAAAUAUUAAAAUCAAGCACUUUUGGGAGAGAUAUUAACUCUUUUAGGCAAUGCACACAAUUCCCCAAGUGCUCAUUGUAAAUCCAGGAAAUCACAUUGUCGGUGGAGUACAGGAAUAAUUUUGCUCCAAAGCGUUUCUGCACCAUACGUAAUUCCAUUUUAGGGAGUAAAGAUGUUUAGCGCAUGUCAGGAGGGUCUGCCUGUUGGCUCUGCCUUGCACCACUGUUGUCAUAAAUCAGUGCUGCCGCUGCAGAAUCAGCUAAUUUCUCAGAAGACUUCCAUGGAAACAUGCUCUGCAGUUGUUUACAUUGGGGGUGAGAGCUUUCAAUCCGAAUCAUUGUUCCAAAAUAGAUGAAUGUCACCUGUGAUAUCCGUUAAUGCAUUUCAGGCAUUGGGGGAAA